AACGAACGCUGGCGGCGUGCUUAACACAUGCAAGUCGAACGCGAAAGGGACUUCGGUCCUGAGUAAAGUGGCGCACGGGUGAGUAACGCGUAGAUAACCUGUCUUCAUGUCUGGAAUAAUACGCCGAGAGGGGUACUAAUACCGGAUAUUCUUGCUUUUCAUAAGUUAUGCAAGCAAAGGUGGCCUCUGCAUAUGCUACUGCAUGAAGAGGGGUCUGCGUACCAUUAGCUAGUAGGUGGGGUAAUGGCCUACCUAGGCGACGAUGGUUAGCGGGUCUGAGAGGAUGAUCCGCCACACUGGCACUGGAACACGGGCCAGACUCCUACGGGAGGCAGCAGUGAGGAAUAUUGCGCAAUGGGGGAAACCCUGACGCAGCGACGCCGCGUGAGUGAGGAAAGGCCUUCGGGUCGUAAAGCUCUGUCAAGAGGAAAGAAGUGUACAAUGGCUAAUACCUGUUGUAUUUGACGGUACCUCUAAAGGAAGCACCGGCUAACUCCGUGCCAGCAGCUGC
rnacentral:rRNA from 1 species